UACAUACUCCCUCCGUUCGGAAUUACUUGUCCAAGAAAUGAAUGUAUCUAUAUGUAUUUUAGUUGUAGAUACAUCCAUUUUUGUGACAAGUAAUUCCGAACGGAGGGAGUAUAUU
rnacentral:pre_miRNA from 1 species